CCUACGGGUGGCAGCAGUACGGAAUAUUGCUCAAUGGGCGAAACCCUGAACCAGCAACGCCGCGUGGAGGAUGAAGGUUUUCUGAUUUUUAACUCCUUUUUUUAGAGAAGUGAAUGACGGUAUCUAACGAAUAAGCACCGGCUAACGCCGUGCCAGCAGCCGCGGUAAUACGGAGGGUGCAAGCGUUACUCGGAAUCACUGGGCGUAAAGAGCGCGUAGGCGGGAUAGCAAGUCAGAUGUGAAAUCCUAUGGCUUAACCAUAGAACUGCAUUUGAAACUGUUAUUCUAGAGUAUGGGAGAGGUAGGUGGAAUUCUUGGUGUAGAGGUGAAAUCCGUAGAGAUCAAGAGGAAUACUCAUUGCGAAGGCGACCUGCUAGAACAUAACUGACGCUGAUGCGCGAAAGCGUGGGGAGCAAACAGGAUUAGAUACCCGGGUAGUC
rnacentral:rRNA from 1 species